AGAUGUGGUCGUGACAGAGGUGGUGGUGGUGGGCUGGUAUUUAUAGCUAAAUUCCUUGGCAUUUUGUGGCUAAUUUGGGAUAAAGAUUCCUUCACUUUUGAAUUUUAAGCUAAAAGCUUCUAUGUCUACAUUGGGGGAUAGGCUGCCGUUUUUGGAGUUUUUGUGGAGGUGGGAUCGAGAAUGACAUAUAAGAGAUCUCCAUGAAGAGAUUCAACCUUUUCCACAUUUGUCUUUUUCUUAAUUUAUCUUCCUAUAUAGACUAGACUUUGUAAAGUAGGAAUUGACUCUUCCUUGGUUGCAGAACACAUAUACCAAAGCAUUCAAAUUAUGCAAAGUGUAGUCCUAUAGGUGAAAAGUAGUUUCCAUUAUUCCCACUUGUACUAAAUUCUUGGCAUUCUUUUAUUCCAACAAUUGUUUUUCAUAAAA